rnacentral:rRNA from 1 species
AACGGCGAGAUCGGGCCUUACUUCCCCACCUUAUGUGGGGUUCGCCAGAGUGACCCAUUCUCCCCGUUCCUCUUUAACAUGGUUGUCGAUGCCCUUUGUGGUAUCCUUGAUAAGGCCAAAGCCUGCGGCCAUAUCCGGGGCGUUGUCCCCCACCUUGUGCACGGAGGAGGGGUCUCCCUCCUCCAAUAUGCGGACGACACCAUUGUCAUGGUG